rnacentral:rRNA from 1 species
GGGGAAUAUUGGACAAUGGGGGGAACCCUGAUCCAGCCAUGCCGCGUGUGUGAAGAAGGCCUUUUGGUUGUAAAGCACUUUAAGCGAGGAGGAGGAGCUCUAGAUUAAUACUCUAGAUGCUUGGACGUUACUCGCAGAAUAAGCACCGGCUAACUCUGUGCCAGCAGCCGCGGUAAUACAGAGGGUGCAAGCGUUAAUCGGAUUUACUGGGCGUAAAGCGUGCGUAGGUGGUCUUUUAAGUCGGAUGUGAAAUCCCUGAGCUUAACUUAGGAAUUGCAUUCGAUACUGGGAGACUAGAGUAUGGGAGAGGAUGGUAGAAUUCCAGGUGUAGCGGUGAAAUGCGUAGAGAUCUGGAGGAAUACCGAUGGCGAAGGCAGCCAUCUGGCCUAAUACUGACACUGAGGUACGAAAGCAUGGGGAGCAAAC